CAGCAGUCGCCACGGUAAUACGAAGGGUGCAAGCGUUACUCGGAAUUACUGGGCGUAAAGCGUGCGUAGGUGGUGGUUUAAGUCCGUUGUGAAAGCCCUGGGCUCAACCUGGGAAUUGCAGUGGAUACUGGGUCACUAGAGUGUGGUAGAGGAUAGUGGAAUUUCCGGUGUAGCAGUGAAAUGCGUAGAGAUCGGAAGGAACAUCUGUGGCGAAGGCGACUAUCUGGGCCAACACUGACACUGAGGCACGAAAGCGUGGGGAGCAAACAGGAUUAGAUACCCGCGUAGUCCCUGUCUCUUAUAC
rnacentral:rRNA from 1 species